rnacentral:rRNA from 1 species
AUUGAACGCUGGCGGCAUGCCUUACACAUGCAAGUCGAACGGCAGCGGACCUUCGGGUGCCGGCGAGUGGCGAACGGGUGAGUAAUGCAUCGGAACGUACCUUUCAGUGGGGGAUAACGUAGCGAAAGUUACGCUAAUACCGCAUAUUCUGUGAGCAGGAAAGCAGGGGAUCGCAAGACCUUGCGCUGAUUGAGCGGCCGAUGUCAGAUUAGCUAGUUGGUGAGGUAAAGGCUCACCAAGGCGACAAUCUGUAGCGGGUCUGAGAGGAUGAUCCGCCACACUGGAACUGAGACACGGUCCAGACUCCUACGGGAGGCAGCAGUGGGGAAUUUUGGACAAUGGGGGCAACCCUGAUCCAGCCAUGCCGCGUGAGUGAAGAAGGCCUUCGGGUUGUAAAGCUCUUUCGGCCGGGAAGAAAUCGCACGGGCUAAUACCCUGUGUGGAUGACGGUACCGGAAUAAGAAGCACCGGCUAACUACGUGCCAGCCGCCGCAGUAAGAC